rnacentral:rRNA from 1 species
UACGUAGGCGGAAAAUUAAGUCAGUAGUGAAAUCCUGCAGCUUAACUGUAGAACUGUUAUUGAUACUGGUUUUCUUGAAUAUAGUUGAGGUAGGCGGAAUGUGUAAUGUAGCGGUGAAAUGCUUAGAUAUUACACAGAACACCGAUUGCGAAGGCAGCUUACUAAGCUAUGAUUGACGCUGAGGUACGAAAGCGUGGGGAGCGAACAGGAUUAGAUACCCUGGUAGUC